AAUUUUCUCUCUCUUCCAAACUUUUUUUAUUUCCUCUUAAAUUCAAUUCGAAGAGAGAGAAACAAAGAGAAAGAGGACAGAGAUUAACAAUGGACGGAGAAGAUGACCGCCAUAGCCAGACCGAGAAAAGCUUGAGAAGAUGCAACAAUGGCGGUAAACAAAACAAGAUUAUCGUCUUAACUGGAACCGCUGCAGUUCUCGCUGUCGCUCUUAAUUUCGCAUUUCAUGCCUUCAAAUCCUUCAAUCAUCGUCGCAAAGCUAAAGAUCUUAUUGGGUCGAAUGUGAGAGUGAAUUUGUCAGUAAUUGAAAUUCGGAAAUUGGCUGAUCGAAUAAUUGCGGAAUCGAAAGCUGUUUAUGAUUCUCUUGCUUCUGUGCCGGUUGAUAAGGUUAGAUAUCAAGAUAUCAUGGUGCUAGCAGAACUAGAGGCACGUCAUUUUCCAUCGGUCCAGUCUUGUGUUUUCCCAAGGCUAGUAUCGACAUCAGAGGAUGUACGCAAAGCAAGUGCUGAAGCAGAGCAGAAAAUAAAUACACAUAAUGGAUCUUGCAGAAAGCGUGAGGAUGUGUAUAGUGUUGUAAAAGCUUUUGCUGCCAGAGGAGAAUGGAAUAAUGCUGAAGCAAAAUCAUAUGUUCAAUCUCUGGUUAGAGAUUUUGAGCAAAAUGGAUUGAACCUUACUUCAUCAAAGAAAGAGGAAGUUCAGCGUUUGCAGGUUCAAAUUGAUGAUUUAAGCAUGCAAUAUGUUCAGAAUAUCAAUGAUGAUUGUACUCUCCUUCUCUUCACUGAAUCAGAGCUAGAAGGAUUGCCCUCUGAACUCCUUCAGAUCUUUGACAAAGCUGAUGAUGAUAAAUUCAAGGUUACCAUGAAAAGUAAUCAUGUGCUGCCAAUACUGGAGCUCUGUAAAAUUGGAGCGACUCGGAGGAAGGUAGCUGUGGGAUAUGGGCAAAGAUGUAAAGAAAUCAAUGUGCCUGUGUUAGAGAAUUUGGUUCAAUUGCGCCAUAAAUUUGCAAGAUUGCUUGGUUAUGAUAAUUAUGCAGAAUAUGCUGUUGGUUCUAGGAUGGCAAAAACUUCCUCAAAGGUUUUCGAAUUCUUGGAGGACUUGUCAACGAGUUUAUCUGAUUUGGCCACCAAAGAACUUGAUAUAUUGAAAAAAUUGAAAGAAAAGGAGGAAGGGGACAAUCCUUUUGGAAUCGAGGACAUGCUCUAUUAUGUAAAAAAGUUUGAAGAAGAAAAUUUUCAUCUAGACUUUGGAGCACUUAAAGAGUAUUUUCCUAUUAGCUUAGUUCUGCAGGGGAUUUUCAAAAUACUCCAAGAUGCUUUCGGAUUAAGAUUUGAAGAAAUUUUCGGUGCUGAGGUGUGGCAUGAGGAUAUACGUGUUUUCUCUGUUUUUGAUUUAAGCUCUUGUGAACUUAUGGGCUAUGCAUACCUUGAUCUCUACUCCAGGGAAGGAAAAUAUAGUCAAACUUGUGUUUUGCCUCUUCAAAAUGGUUCAUUAUCAGCAAAUGCUGCUAGACAGGUUCCAGUUGUGCUACUGAUGUCUGAGUUGUCAAAGGAGGAUGAUAAUUCUCCUACAUUACUGCGAUUUUCUGAAGUUGUUAGUCUUUUCCAUGAAUUUGGCCAUGUGGUCCAUCAUAUAUGCAACCGUUCACCACUUGCUCGAUUCUCUGGCUUGCGUGUUGAUAAUGACUUUGUAGAAAUGCCUGGUCAUCUACUUGAGAACUGGUGCUAUGAGAGCAACAUCUUGAAAUUAAUAUCUGGUUAUUAUCAGGAUAUCACAAGGCAAAUUAAAGAUGAUAUAUCUAUGUCUUUGCAAAGAUGGAGGCAUUCAUUUGCUGCACUUAAAUUGAGGCAGGAAAUUCUUUACUGUCUAUUUGAUCAAAUAAUACAUUCUACUGACAACGUCGACUUCCUUGAGUUAUUCAAGUUUCUCCAUCCCAAGGUGAUGCUGGGAUUACCCAUCUUGGAAGGCACAAACCCGGCUUCGUGUUUUCCACAUUCAGCAAUUGGUUAUGAAGCUAGUUGUUACAGUCGUAUUUGGAGCAAGGUUUUUGCUGCCGACAUAUUCACUUCCAAAUUUCAUGAUGGUCUUAACCAUCAUACUGGCAUGCAGUUUCGCAACAAGGUACUGGCUCCAGGGGGAGCAAAGGAUCCGCAUGAAUGUUUGACAAAUUUCAUUGGUAGAGAACCGUCAAUUCAAGCAUUUGUAGAUAGCAUAUCUUAUUCAAGUAUCUGAUGAAGCUGCAGAUAUUAGUGAGUUGCAUUCACUUUUUAACUUCAGGAACCUGUUAGAGUUACGCGUUCUCCAUGUCAAAUGAAGUAGGAGAGGCUUAUAAUGGGCAAUGGUGAUUUAUAAAGAGGAUUUGCCAAAAGAAUCAGAUCUCAGGUAUAAAGAUUCACGAGCCUGAGGGAACAAACAACUCAAAUAACGCAGGGAUUUGAUGUAUGAGGAUCAUCUUUUUCAGAUUUAGACCGCCUCUUUUGCAUUUGCCAAGGCUAAUAGCUCGUUGCACUUCAAUGCAAAUUGGUUUUUUUUUUUAUGAUUCGACGACUUUCAUUCUAGUUUAGAGAGGAAAUUUUUGGUACAAGUCACAAAUGUAUUUUAUUUUAAUUAUAUAAUUACACUUGUUAUUUUAUUCUUUGAUCAGUAUACGUUUGUAUUAGUACGAGUAGAUUCUUCCACUAAAAUGCAUCAAUGUUUUAUCAAUUAAUUUUUCAUUCUAGUCA